AUGCCUCUGAGUAUUCGCAAGCUUCGGAGGGUGGAUUUUCAAGUGCUCAUUGAUAAAAUGGCAGCAAAGCUUGCGGGAUGGAAGGGGAAAUUACUUAACAUGAUGGGACGGCUGGCUCUCAUCAACUCGGUGUUAACCUCCUUCAGCACGUACUAUCUGACAAUGUUUGCUCCAACCAAGUGGGUUGUAAAGAGGAUUGACAAGCUCCGAAGAAGUUUUCUUUGGAAAGGAGAAGAAGAGGCCAAAGGAGGCCACUGUGUAGUCAAUUGGCAACAAGUAUGCUCCCCCAAAAAGCUUGGGGGCCUCGGAAUAAAAAACCUAGCUUUCUACAGCAGAUCUUUGAGAUUAAGGUGGGCUUGGUACUCCUGGAAAUACCCCAACAGGCCUUGGGUUGGACUGCAAAUUCCAUGCACUAGCACUGACAUGCAGUUGUUCAAUGCCUCCACAACUGUCAAGCUUGGUGACGGUCAAAGUGCUAAAUUCUGGAGUAGCUCAUGGCUAAAUGGUUCUGCACCUAAGGACAUCGCCCCAAACCUACAU
rnacentral:rRNA from 1 species